rnacentral:miRNA from 12 species
AAGCCCUUACCCCACUAACUUA